AUUGAACGCUGGCGGCAGGCUUAACACAUGCAAGUCGAGCGAGCGGCGGACGGGUGAGUAAUGUCUGGGAAACUGCCUGAUGGAGGGGGAUAACUACUGGAAACGGUAGCUAUUACCGCAUACCAUCAGAUGUGCCCAGAUGGGAUUAGCUAGUAGGUGGGGUAAUGGCACACCUAGGCGACGAUCCCUAGCUGGUGUGAGAGGAUGACCAGGCACACGGGAACUGAGACGCGGUCCAGACUACUACGGGAGGCAGCAGUGGGGAAGAUUGCACAAUGGGCGCAAGCCUGAUACAGACAUGCCGAGUGUGGGAAGAAGGCAGUCGGGUUGUAAAGCAAUUUCAGCGAGGAGGCGUUACUCGCAGAAGAAGCACCGGCUAACUCCGUGCCAGCAGCCGCGGUAAUAC
rnacentral:rRNA from 1 species